rnacentral:rRNA from 1 species
UACGGGGGGGGCAAGCGUUGUUCGGAAUUACUGGGCGUAAAGGGCUCGUAGGCGGCCAACUAAGUCGGAUGUGAAAUCCCCAGGCUCAACUUGGGAACUGCAUCCGAUACUGGAUGGCUUGAAUCCGGGAGAGGGAUGCAGAAUUCCAGGUGUAGCGGUGAAAUGCGUAGAUAUCUGGAGGAACACCGGUGGCGAAGGCGGCAUCCUGGACCGGCAUUGACGCUGAGGCGCGAAAGCUAGGGGAGCAAACGGG